rnacentral:lncRNA from 1 species
CAAGCGGUGCUACCUCCUGGCUUGGGCGGUUGCACCUCCUAACAGAAAUCAGGGUCUGAAUGGGUUGAUCCAUUCAGCCCAAUUUGGGUUUUUCAGGGGCCCAAUUGCCCCAAGAUUAAGUUAAUGGGAUCACCUCUCAUUUCCAACUUAAUCAUUGUGCUAACUACGAUAUUCCCUAAGACAUUUACUGUAACUUGCUC